AUGCGCAGAUAUCAGGAGGAACACCGGUGGCGAAGGCGGGUCUCUUGGGCAGUAACUGACGCUGAGGAGCGAAAGCGUGGGGAGCGAACAGGAUUAGAUACCCUGGUAGUCCACGCCGUAAACGGUGGGUACUAGGUGUGGGUUUCCUUCCUUGGGAUCCGUGCCGUAGCUAACGCAUUAAGUACCCCGCCUGGGGAGUACGGCCGCAAGGCUGAAACUCAAAGGAAUUGACGGGGGCCCGCACAAGCGGCGGAGCAUGUGGAUUAAUUCGAUGCAACGCGAAGAACCUUACCUGGGUUUGACAUGCACAGGACGUCGGCAGAGAUGUCGGUUCCCUUGUGGCCUGUGUGCAGGUGGUGCAUGGCUGUCGUCAGCUCGUGUCGUGAGAUGUUGGGUUAAGUCCCGCAACGAGCGCAACCCUUGUCUCAUGUUGCCAGCACGUUAUGGUGGGGACUCGUGAGAGACUGCCGGGGUCAACUCGGAGGAAGGUGGGGAUGACGUCAAGUCAUCAUGCCCCUUAUGUCCAGGGCUUCACACAUGCUACAAUGGCCGGUACAAAGGGCUGCGAUGCCGUGAGGUGGAGCGAAUCCUUUCAAAGCCGGUCUCAGUUCGGAUCGGGUCUGCAACUCGACCCCUGAAGUCGGAUCGCUAGUAAUCGCAG
rnacentral:rRNA from 1 species